CAGUAGCCGCGGGAAAACGAAGGGGGCUAGCGUUGUUCGGAAUUACUGGGCGUAAAGCGCACGUAGGCGGCUUGGUAAGUUAGAGGUGAAAGCCUGGAGCCCAACUCCAGAAUUGCCUUUAAGACUGCCGAGCUAGCAGGUGAGAGAGGUAAGUGGAAUUCCGAGUGUAGAGGUGAAAUUCGUAGAUAUUCGGAAGAACACCAGUGGCGAAGGCGGCUUACUGGCUCAUACUGGACGCUGAGGUGCGAAAGCGUGGGGAGCAAACAGGAUUAGAUACCCGUGUAGUCCCUGUCUCUUAUAC
rnacentral:rRNA from 1 species